rnacentral:rRNA from 1 species
UGAGUAGGCGGGACGGCAAGUCAGAUGUGAAAUACCGGGGCUCAACUCCGGGGCUGCAUUUGAAACUGUAAUACUUGAGUACUGGAGAGGUAAGUGGAAUUCCUAGUGUAGCGGUGAAAUGCGUAGAUAUUAGGAGGAACACCAGUGGCGAAGGCGACUUACUGGACAGAUACUGACGCUGAGGCGCGAAAGCGUGGGGAGCAAACAGGAUUAGAUACCCGAGUA